ACCUCCAGUAGCCAUCUGAGGAGUGGCCACUUGGAGGUGUCCCUAGGGGCAAUGUAAACACUGACUUUUCUCUGAAAAGGCAGUGUUUGCAUGGAAAUGCCUGCAUCUAAUGAUUAUACUCACCAGAGCAACUACAUUAAACUAGUUGUUCUAGUGACUAUAGUGUCCCUUUAAGUCAAAAUACCUGAAUUUAAAGUUUUUUUAGAUUACUUUUUUUAAUUGUUUUUCAACUAGGUACAGUUCGCUGUUUCUAAAUCACUGCCUUAGUGAUGCC